rnacentral:lncRNA from 1 species
GCCUCAUAAAGUUUGGAGUCGUACCUUUUUCACCUUGUCAACUCCUUGGAGGAAAUUCUUUAAAAUUUCGCAAACUUACUUUGUGUUGGUAGCAUCGGCCACCUUUAGAAACAUAUAUUCAUCCAAACCUUAAUAGAUGAGUGCAAGGGCUUGUUGAUCCUUCUUCUUUGUUUUUGUAAAAACAUCAUUCUCAUUUUGAGUAAAGGAUCCUUCAUCUUCGGGUAGAAUAAAGCCUCUUUCUACAAUUUUCCACAUAUCUUGUGAGCCAAGUAUGACUUUCAUACGAAAACACUAACUCUCAUAGUUUUCUUUUG